CUCUGGGUUUCACAGGUAGUUGGAUAUCCUGGGAGAAGUUCUGGAGACGAGGCGAGGUCUUGCUUGCCCUGGGUGGCGCGGUGCCUCCCAGCCCCCAGUGGAGAGUGAGGGAUGGGGAGAGUGAGGGGUGGGAAAUUGGUGAAUCUUCCUAGGGGAAAGAGGGAGAACUCAUUCUUUUCCCCCUGAAAAAUGAGGGAAGUCCACAUGGCUUAAGUGAGUUUUUGCUUCUUGUCAGAACAGCUCAGGGAAAGCUACAGGUGGCCGGUCAUAGGGCUGGCAUUUGGCUCGGCCAACCCAUGAGUUCAAGCCAGUGGGGAGCAGGCACCUCUCUCCAGCCACCCACAUACAUGCUCAUUUAUCCUCCUAAAUAUCCUUCCAUCCAUUCAUCCAUCUAUCCACCCAUCUUCCCUUAUGUCCUUGCAGGGCUCUCGCAUCCAUCCUCCUGUCCAUCCACUAACAACUUAGGUCCAUCCAUCACCCCUUUCAUCCAUUAAUCCAACCACACACUUUUUAAUUUAUUCAUACAUCCAACCACCUAUUCUUCUGUUCAUUCUCCCAUACAACUUCUCACCCAUUGUUUCACACAUCCUUUUUCACGUCUCUUCAUAAACUCACAACAAUCUACCAUCCUCCUCUCCACCCAUCCACCCACACACCUGUUUAUUGAUAUAUCCACUCAUCUCCCAUCCAUCCAUGAUCGACAUACCCACCUAUCAUUUUAUUCAUUCUCUCAUCCACCCAUACAUUUAUCUAUUAUUUUUUGCCCCCAUUAUCCUCCUUUCUGUGUAAACAUUAAUUCAUUUUCCCCCAUCUCUUCUACCCAGCAGUUUUUAAAGUAGAGAUUGUUAUAUUCUUCAAGGGAAGCCUUUUGAGAUUGAAAUAUCAUACUUGAAUGAUAACUGUAUAUUUACCUAUAAUAUACUAUGCUUUAAUAUUUGGAAAUCAAACGCGGUACUUAUUGUUCAUGUGAACUACUAAAAGUAAAUCUGCAUGGACUUCUUGCUGCGUGAGUUACACAGAAAGUGAAAGUGAUAAUCAGUGUCUGUGGCAAGACUGAAGGAACCAUGCCAGAACUUCUGAGGGAAGAGAUGGGGUUCAUCAUGUUGGUCAGCCUGGUUUCCAACUCUUGACCUCAGAGAAUCCACCUGCCUCAACCUCCCAAAUGCUGAGAUUAUAGGUGUGAGCCACUGUGCCUGGCCCAUUUCACCCAUUUUAAAGUGCAUACAUCAGUGGAAGAGUGUUUGAGACUGAAAAAUCCAUGUCUGAACCUAGUCCUCAGCACUCAGAAGCUGGCAGGCCACGAUGCAAAGGGCUGCCCGUCUGGAAUGAGGACAGGGCCCCAGAACUCCCACCUGAAGAGCAGGUGCUUGGAAAAUGCUGCCAGUCUGCAGGAAAGAGUUGCUGCUGCCGCUGUCUGUGACCAAGAGGACACUUCAUUUCUUCAAACAACUGGGGGUCAAACUGGCUCCUGGGUAAGGCUUCAGGCCCUACCCAUGUGAGAAACCAGCCCUGGUGGGUUCCAUGGACAAGAGUACAGGGCAAGGAGUGGCCUUGUUCACCUCAUGCAACCUCCAGGCAUUUCAGCCUUCUUUUCUUGGAGGAAGAAAGUGAAGUGGAUAGUCACUAGGAACAAUGUGUGUUUUACUGCAUUUCAUGGAACCUGGAGGCUCCUUAGAGACCCUUCAGAAGCAGACACAGUGGUCAGAGUAAAAGCUUAAGAGUAGGCUGUGCCUCUCUGUCCUCUGUGCCCAGUCCCCAUCCUGACUACAGAAGUUUCACCUGCAUCAGUUUUAUAUACCAGACUAUUGCAUGAAAUUUCAUUUUGACAAAGGACUAUUUUUAAAAAAUACAUAAAAAUCAACAAAGUAGGCCAUAUCAAGUCCUGGUCCCUUCUCUAUUAGUGCAGUAAACAAUUCCACCAAGGCAAAAGCAGGUCUGAAAGUGCUUCACAAACUAUAGAGGGGCAUGCAAAUUCUAGGGGUUGCAAUCAGGAUUUUUCUCCCCAGCAGGGAGUAUUUUGUUUGCCUGCUUCCCGAUAGUUCAGUGAGGGACUGAGGUCAUUUGCCCCCAUACCACAAAUGACUCAUUUCAAAUAACUGACCUGGUGACUUACUGAGUCGGGGCCUGCCUUUGGGAAUUCCUGGAUCACCUCUCUGAGCUCUCCUCUGCUCCACUUUUCACUCUAAACACACCCUGCCCAUGCCCUGGUCACACAAACUCUUCCCAAAAUCUUAGCUGCUCCAUGUCUGUAGUGUGUUGCCCCACCUCUCUUUCUAAGCCAAACCAUGGGAUGUGGGAAACUGGAAAGGAAACUUGAUUGAUUUGGGUUGACAUGAGAUCACACUAUUUGGAAAGAAUCCAGAAUGCAAACAGCAGCUUUGGACCAAGAAAGCCCAGGUAUGAGCAUUGGCUUUCCCCCUUAUCAGAGGAUGACUUAACCUCUGGGAGUUCUGGUAUUCCCAGCCCCAAAAUGAGGGUAAUCAGACCUGUCCCAUAGUUGACUAUGAGUAGUCAGUGAAAGAAGACAUCGAGACCUUUUUCUGGGGUGCCUGCCUCAUGGUGGAACUCAAGGACCUCUAAGCUACCUGAGAACAGGGACACAUCUGUCUGGGGUGCUAGCACCUACUCAGCUCUCAGUUCCUGACAUACACACUGUGCUCCAUAAAUAAGCAUUACAUAAAUGCAGGAGGGACUGUUAUUUUUUUCCCUCCCAUCAGAGAACAUAGGGGUGUUUCAGGAAUCUCAUGUACUAGUGGGUGGAAACACAUAGACAACUUGACAGUUUCUAAAUAAAUGCAAGCAAUGGUAUCCUACUCGGGGUGACUGGUUCAGGGAGACUUCAGUGCAGCCAGAGCAUUACUCACUCUGGCAGACUAGGGUUCUUUGCUGAAAUACUGGGGCCUGAUGGCUUCUGACUGGUAGUAAUAAAUCCUGUUCCUCUCAGGCAAAGAAAAGUCAAAUCUAAACCAAAUGUGAGCAAGAGUGUAAAAUGCAAAGCUGGGAGAUCUUGGGCCGAAUCAUGGAAUUCCAGGAUUAUAAAUGCAACAGAUCACAGACUCUUUUAAAAAGACGACAUUUAAUUAUUUCACAGGACUGCUUCCCAGAAAAGGAAUGAUCUGGCAUGGGAAAGAAAAGAUGACAUUCCAUUUAAACCUUAACUCUGAAAAAAAUUGAUCCUUAGUUCCUAUUCGGUGUGAAUUCUGCACAUACAAAUGAGUUGUGGUGAAAAAAGCUCUUGCAAAAUAAUUAUUAGUAAAGUCUAAAUAAACCAGUGGCUGGGAAGCAAACUUCAUAAAAAUAAAUGACCUCCAAUGACUAGUCUCAAGCUAACCAACUGUGAUUACAGAGCUGAUUAAUAAGGCUUUAUUAAUAAGGCUUUAGGAUUAAUAAGGCUUUCAAAUUAUGGCAAAUAAAGAAAUUGGUGUGGCUGCUACACUCUGGAAGUGCCAAGGAGACAGAUGCAUCUAGAUUUUAUAUAGGUCCAUUUUAGCCACAAAGUGAGUUUUACACAGACUUUUGGAGUUUAAAAUAGUAUGCAGAUAGGAGAAAUCCUAGACUUGGAUGAUAAUAAAUUUAGAAAUGAGAAUAUUUGAGAAUGAAAUUUGAAUUAAUGAUGUGUGACUUUACGUAGCAAGCUAACUGGAAGGAAGACAAGUGAGACAGUGUAUAUUUUAUGCACUAUUAUUUAAGGGAAAUGUAAUUAUAUUUAUUUUAAACUAUAUUUCUUUUAUGUUCAUGUAGUAACUAAAAUUCAUAUUUAUUCCUCUUCUCUCCACUUCAUACAAAGUGGUUAAGCAUUUAUUGGCAGGCUUUAGAAAUCUGUUACUUAAGCAUGAUUUCUUUAGAACAUAUCCAUGGUUGAUAUGUAAAUGGUAACUAAAAGCCUUGUAGUUGUCUGAAAAUUACAUGUUCUCUGCAUUCAUUCGCUAUAUGAGAACUGUAUACUGAGAACAAUUUAUACAUUCUUGGUUCUGUCAUAAUUAAUCAUCACCACUCCAUCACUGCCACUAUUGCUGUUAUCACCACUACCACAACCACCGUGACUACCUUGAGAACUAACACCACCUCUACUAUCACCACUGCCGCUCUCAUCAACGCCACCACUACCACCAUCCACCAUCACCACUGGUUAUCACUACCAUCACUAUAACCACCGUUAUCUUCAACAUCAUAGCUAAUAGCCAGCACUUUCUACAUGUCAAACCUAAUGUCAUUUCAUUGUCACAACAAUCCCAUGAAAAGUUAAUUUCUAUUUUACAGAUAAAGAAACAAAGUCUUAGAAAAGUUACAAAACUCGUUCAAGGUCACAUUUUUAUUUCACUUAGCAAAUUUUUCCUGUCUUUAAGAGAUAGGGGGAUAGAAAAGUUCUGAUUCUUGACAGCAAAAAUACUAAAUCAAUGGAAUCCUAAUUCAUAGUCUUUACUAAAUUUUAUUCUGAAUCAUGGAAAUAAGUUUCUUUUAAGAAGGAAGAUUUCCUUUGGAAGCUUUUAUUGGAGUGGAGGAAGUGAAAAGAGUAUUGCUAAGGCAGAGGAUGGAGAAUGUUGCUUCUCCCAGCUCCCUGAAAAAUUAGAAUCCUAGAAUAAGACAACUUCAAAUGUGUAGACACAGAGCUUGGUUAUUCAAUGGACAAUUUUAGAUUUGCAUAGGACUACGCCUUGAUUUCUUAUAGUAUCAUUGUGAGAUGGUUGUGUAUUCUGACUAGAAAUAGCACCAUUUUCUAGUUACAGCACCUGAGAGUUUAUUCAAUGACAAGAAUACUCACAAGACCCUUUUUGGAUUGUUGGCCCAACCCACAAGUUGUAGUUCCUUCUCUGAAUAUUUCAUCCAGAUUGUGAAAAGCAGCUUUGGCAGCCAUAGUUGUACCUGAGGUGGACACCUAAAGCAAUCCCGACCAACCAGAGUCUUAGAUUUUGACAUUUGGGAUUAGAGCAUGGCUGAAGGUAUGGGACAUAAACUUGGAAGCUCUGGGGUAGCAGUACACCUCCAUGAGGACAGAGAAGCAGGGGAAAGAAGAAUAAAGCAGAAGCUCACAGAAACGCAGGAAAUGCUUCUUGAGUUCUAACACUUUUCUGGCUCCUUGUUGUAGUCCAUUCUUGAAACACUCGCUCCUUACAGAAGCCAAUGGCAAGAAUGCAGUCAGGUCCUCCUAAUAAAUUCAUUUUAUUCUGUUUACAUUA